UACGUAGGGUCCGAGCGUUGUCCGGAAUUAUUGGGCGUAAAGAGCUCGUAGGCGGUUUGUCGCGUCUGCUGUGAAAUCCCGAGGCUCAACCUCGGGCCUGCAGUGGGUACGGGCAGACUUGAGUGGUGGUAGGGGAGACUGGAAUUCCUGGUGUAGCGGUGAAAUGCGCAGAUAUCAGGAGGAACACCAGUGGCGAAGGCAGACGUCCGCUGGGACGGUUGACUGACGCUGGAGACGCGAAAGCGUGGAGGAGCAACGAGG
rnacentral:rRNA from 1 species